rnacentral:rRNA from 1 species
GUCUACAGCCACACCACACUGAACACGCCCGAUCUCGUCUGAUCUCGGAAGAUAAGCAGGGUCGGGCCUGGUCAGUACUUGGAUGGGAGAAAGUAAGAGAGAUUUUCAGAGGCCCUCUGGUUG